UACGUAGGGGGCAAGCGUUGUCCGGAUUUAUUGGGCGUAAAGAGCGUGUAGGCGGUUCGGUAGGUCCGUUGUGAAAACUCGAGGCUCAACCUCGAGACGCCGAUGGAAACCAUCGAACUAGAGUCCGGAAGAGGAGAGUGGAAUUCCUGGUGUAGCGGUGAAAUGCGUAGAGAUCCGGAGGAACACCAAAGGCGAAGGCAGUGUCCUGGGGAGUACCUGACGCUCAGGUGCGAAAGCCAGGGGAGCGAACGGG
rnacentral:rRNA from 1 species